CCACAGAUUACUCCUAUCCUCCAUCCUCCCGUCCCCUAGCAUUACCCCCAACAACUCACCUCCCAUUCCCAACUCCUCCAAGGCAAAGUCUCCCAUGGGGAGUCAACAGAGCCUGGUACACUCUGUUGAGGCAGGUCUAAGCCCCUCCUCCCUGCACCAAGGCUGCAAAAAGUGUCCCAAUAUAGGCACUGGGCUCCAAAAAGCCCACUCCUGCACCAGGGAUGGAUCAUGAUUGCACUGCCUGGGGGCCCACAAGACAGUUAAACGACUGUCUCACAUAUCCAGAGGGCCUAGUCCUGUAGCAUGGGGGCUCUGCAGCUAUUGGUCCACAGUUCAUGUGUUUCCUCUAGUUUGGCUGUCCGUCUCUGUACAUUUCUUCACCAUGAUCUCAAUGUCCCUUGCUCAUAGAAUCUCUCCUCUCUCUCAUCGAUUGGACUCCUGGAGUUCGGCCUGACCCUCAGCUGUGCAUCUUUGCAUUGCUUCCAUCAGUCACUGGGUGAAGGCUCAUGGGGCUCCUCAGCUAUUGGUCCACAGUUCAUGCGUUUCCACUAGUUUGGCUGAUUAUCUCUGUACUUUUCCCCAUCACGACCUCGAUGUCCCUUCCUCAUAAAAACUGACCUUCCCAUUGUCAUUAAAUCUAUCACUUCUUGGUAGUAAGGAGAUGCAGGUACUUGUAGAGAAUCAUACCUCACAUACAUUUCUAUAAUAAUUACCUUCUGGACAUAUACUUUAUUAGGAGAUGAACACUCACUUUCCCACAUGGAAGUACUGAGGCAAUUCCAAACAUUCAGAGAAUUCAAGGGUGCUGAAGGAUUUCCCUGGAGUCCCAGGAGAGAUUCCUGGAAUGGGAAACCUGACUUCUGGAGAGUUAUUAGGAGAUCUGGUUAGCAGGGAGGCAAUGUCAGUUCCCCAUGACAUGAGGGGUCUCUUUCCUGGACAUUCUAUUGUAUCCUGAAAACUUUAGAAUGUUUUCUGAUGUCAUCUGUGUUGUAUUGCCACCAACUGCCUUUGGGGAAUUGGUUCAGUGCUCUUACAUUUCAGCCUUGAACAUGUUGGGAAGACUUAGGAGUCUAUUGGGUAGAAAGAAUAGAGAGGGAAGAGAGACAAGAGAGAGGCAGACACAAACUGCCCUUCAGCCUCAAUGUAAAACAUCAAGAAAAAAAUGGUCCAGAAGAUGGUAUAGUAAGUUCAGGGCAGGAAAUUGGCAUCUUCCUGAAGGACAUGGGUGUGGUGAAUCUUCCAGUAACAGGACAUAGGAGGUAGGAGUCUCUGGGAACCAACUGGACUUCCCUGCUUGUCAUGGCUCCUGAAAUUCAAGGAUUCUAGAAGAGUAAUUUGUCUGUCCCAGAAGUCAAGAGUGAGUAAGGCCAAAGCUGUUGUGCUGGGAGCUCUUGCCUUUCAUUCCUACAGGGGGGUAGGGGUUGAGAGGGGACAAAAAGGCCAGAAUUAGGAUAGGAGGUUCAAGUGAACUGAGCGAAGAAAAAGACACAUCAUCAAUGUACUUCAUUCUACUGGCUUCAUUUAUUUAUGGCCCACCAGCUCUAUGCAUCCUCUGUUGUCACUGAGGAGUCUUAGUGAGGAUGGUGACCAUAUUCUGCCCCUGUGUGGCUUCUUCAUUUUUGCCAUGUGCUUAGGGUAACCUGUCAGGUUAUUUAUGCAUCUUUAAUGAUCUUAGUACUUAUGGACUGUGUCAAUUUUAUCUUGGCUUUGAUAGCAACAGACUAGUAAACUCUGCAGCCAAGUUGAAUGCAGAGUCCGGGGAUAUUAAUAAACCUGAGGAGGCUCUCUCCUUAGUUACAUGAGCAUGUGUUAAAGGAACAGAGGAAAUCAGCUGGCUCAGACACCUAUCUCCCUUCAGAGAGAUGGAAGACCUGAGACCCCUGGCAGGGGCAUCUCAAUCCAGGGCACAAUUCUUUGGGGUGUCACUGAAUUGCUUGCUUAUAUUCUUUCUCAAACACCUUCUUAGGUCUCAGGGUGACCUGUUCAUUCUCUAUGUCUUGUCACAAUGCAAGUUCACUUGUGUUCAUUCAUCCACCAACAGGGCCCUCCAAGGAGCCACCACCCACUCCAAUCAGCCUCACAAAGAGACAAGUGAAGCAGAAGGUGAAGAGCCUGACCAGUCAGCUUCAGGUGAUGACCGCCCAACGGAAUGAUCUGAGAGAUCGCCUCAUCUUAGUAACCGAAGGAACCUUGGACAACAGACCCUACCACAGGCCAAAUCCUUUCUGUGAAAACCUCAAGAUGGAACAUCAGCCAGGUCAUGUCAGACCUGCAGAAUUUCAAGAAUGAGAAUUUGAAGGCCUCACAGAAGUUAUGUGAGCUGACCAAGGAGAAAGUAUUCCUUUGUGAUCUACAGAUCCGGCUCCUGAUGGAGCAGAGUCAGUUGAAAAAGAAGUUGGACAUGCUGAGGCAAGAGAAGGAGAACCUACUGGAAGACUGGGUCCUGCUCAAGCACCACUUGGGUGACUUUCAAGUGCUCAGUAAGGUCCAAGAAGAGACCCGUGGACUCGAGAACCAGCAACAGCAGGAGCAGCAAAGAAUGGAAGAGAGACUUCAGAGCUUGCUGUAGCACAGGGAGAUGGUCACGCAGCAAAAACACCUGGCAAUAAAGCUGCAGCAUCAUUUGACUGUCUCCCAGAUGAGCAUCCUUUGCAAGAACUGAGGAGUUUCAAGGAAGCCAUAGUCAACCAGAAACCCUGACAUUCUCCACUCUACAGUCAAGGCCUCCUCAGAACAAGACAUGUACUUCUAACUGUAGAAUCACAAAUGAAGAAAAUAUCAACCACCCUGCAAGUGGUCCAUCCAUAAUCUAAUUCAUGUGUC